GGAAUAUUGGACAAUGGGGGAAACCCUGAUCCAGCAAUGCCGCGUGAGUGAUGAAGGCCUUAGGGUUGUAAAGCUCUUUCGACGGGGACGAUGAUGACGGUAGCCAGAGAAGAAGCCCCGGCUAACUCCGUGCCAGCAGCCGCGGUAAUACGGAGGGGGCAAGCGUUGUUCGGAAUUACUGGGCGUAAAGGGCGCGUAGGCGGAACAUUAAGUUAGGGGUGAAAGGCCUGGGCUCAACCUGGGAACGGCCUCUAAGACUGAUGAUCUCGAGUCCGGAAGAGGAUGGCGGAAUUCCCAGUGUAGAGGUGAAAUUCGUAGAUAUUGGGAAGAACACCGGUGGCGAAGGCGGCCAUCUGGUCCGGCACUGACGCUGAGGCGCGAAAGCGUGGGGAGCAAA
rnacentral:rRNA from 1 species